GUGGAUUUAGCUCAGCGGCAUGAGCGCCUGCCUGGCAAGCAGGAGGUCAUGAGUUCGAUCCCCAGUACCGCC
rfam:Cavia porcellus supercont2_32 genomic scaffold, whole genome shotgun sequence.